UAAAAUCCAGAAAAUUCAUCAUAUUCAUCACCAAACCCAUAAAAAUUCAUCAUCUUCAUCAUCAAAUCCAUCAUAAAAUCCAGAAAAAUAAAAGAAACUCUAAAAUUAAAUGUAAAUUAGUAUUCAUCAUCAUCCAAAAUUAAAACAAAUUUAAACCCAUCAAUCUUCAAACAACAAUAACAAAUGAAAUUAAAUUAAAAUUCUGCAAAAUUCUUCAAACAUUAUGAAAAUGAUGAUAAACACAAUGAAUUUAUGAAAAACUGCAGCAACAACAACAGAGGCCAGGAAGUGCUUAAGGCAAGGAAUUACAAAUAGAGGCUAAAAUGGCAAUAGCAGCUAAAGAAAACACAGGCUGCUAGCCAAACAAAACAUCAUCCAAACAGCCCACAAUUAAACACCCACACCAUUCGAAACCUGCUACUGCCAACAACAAACCCCUCAGCAAAAGCCCCCAAACAACAUUAAAAUCUUAGUAUAACACACAAAAAUAGCACACCUAAACUUUAAUUCCUGAUGAACGCAAGAAUUGAAGGAAAAAAAUGGGGAAAAUUUGUAGAUUUUUUUAUAAAAAAAAAUAAAAAUUAAUUUGAAAUCAAAAUAAGUUUAUGACUCAAUGAUAAAGGUUCAAUAACAAGGAUCUUUACUCCAUUUUUUCAAACAACGUUUCCAAGAACAACCUUAAAAUUCAUCUUCAUCUCCAAAUCUCUUCAAUUCGUAGAUCCCAUCAAACAACCACUCACUGCCAUAUUCUUUAACUUUUUACAGAUUCUUCUAAUUGUUGAUUGUGAUUGGUGGAAUUUCUACGAUUGCAAAUCCUUGAGGUUAGGGUUUGAAAAUUUGGGGAAAAGUUUUAAAGGUUAGAAUUUCUAUGAUUGUGAUUGUAAUUGGUUGAAUGUCUAUGAUUGUAAAUAGUUAAUUUGGGGGGAAUUUCACUUUCUGGAAUCAAGGAGAGGUGUGGGGUUGUUGUGGUGAGAAGAGAGACAAGGGAGAAAAGAUAAGUGAAAGGGUUUGGGAAAAGGGGAUGGCGUCUGUUGUUAUUAUGAUGCUGGGAAAAGAGUUAAAUAUUUUUUUUGUAAGGAAGAGUU
rnacentral:lncRNA from 1 species